UACGAGGGGGGCGAGCGUUGUUCGGAAUUAUUGGGCGUAAAGGGUGCGUAGGCGGUUUGGUAAGUCUUAUGUGAAAUCUACAGGCUCAACUUGUAGUCUGCAUGAGAAACUGCCGGGCUUGAGUAUGGGAGAGGUGAGUGGAAUUCCUGGUGUAGCGGUGAAAUGCGUAGAUAUCAGGAGGAACACCUGUGGCGAAAGCGGCUCACUGGACCAUAACUGACGCUGAUGCACGAAGGCUAGGGGGAGCAAACAGG
rnacentral:rRNA from 1 species